UACAGAGACCUCAAGCGUUAUCCGGAAUCAUUGGGCGUAAAGCGUACCGAUAGGUGGUUUUACAAGUCAGAAGUGAAAUCUCUCAGCUUAACUGGGAGACUGUCUUUUGAAACUGUAAAACUAGAAGGGCAAAGAGGAAGCUGGAACAAACGGUGUAGUAGUGAAAUGCGUUGAUAUCGUUUGGAACACCGAUAGCGUAGGCAGGCUUCUGGGUGCCACUUGACACUGCUAGGACGAAAGCGUGGGUAGCGAAUGGG
rnacentral:rRNA from 1 species